rnacentral:misc_RNA from 1 species
GAUGAAGAACGUAGUGAAAUGCGAUAAGUAAUGUGAAUUGCAGAAUUCAGUGAAUCAUCGAAUCUUUGAACGCAUCUUGCGCUCCUUGGUAUUCUGAGGAGCAUGCCUGUUUGAGUGUCAUUAAAUUCUCAACUACACUGACUUUGAAUUGGUGUGGCUUGGAUUUGGGGGGAAAAUUGUUGUGGGCUUUUUGUAUAGUCUGCUCCCCUGAAAUUGAUUAGCGGUACCUUUGUGGAACUGUCUACAGGUGUGAUAAUUAUCUACAUCUUAGACAUCUGCUGGAAUGCUGCUUUCUAAACCUUACUUGUAUUGACAAUCUUGACCUCAAAUCAGGUAGGACUACCCGCUGAACUUAAGCAUAUCGAUAAGCGGAGGA